CCUACGGGAGGCAGCAGUGGGGAAUCUUUCACAAUGGGGGAAACCCUGAUGCAGCGACGCCGCGUGAAGGAAGAAGUAUUUUGGUAUGUAAACUUCUAUCAGCAGGGGAGCAAAUGACGGUACCUGACUAAGAAGCGCCGGCUACCUACGUGCCAGCAGCCGCGGUCAUACGGAGGGGGCAAGCGUUAUCCGGAUUUACUGGGUGUAAAGGGAGCGUAGGCGGCGAUGCAAGUCAGAAGUGAAAGCCCGGGGCUCAACUCCGGGACUGCUUUUGAAACUGGUUUGCUAGAUUGCAGGAGAGGUAAGUGGAAUUCCUAGUGUAGCGGUGAAAUGCGUAGAUAUUAGGAGGAACACC
rnacentral:rRNA from 1 species